UUUGAAAGCCUGCUGUGAAGAGUAAAUCCCAAGGACACAUUUGACUUCCUAGGAAUAUAAAAGCUUGGAUCAGUAAAAUAACACUGCGAACAAAGUCAAAAGACCAUCCCCAAAAUGAGGGGAAUAGGGCAAGUAAGUGGAGCAGUUCCACCCUGAGAAUCCCUGGAGUAGAUUUUAAAAUGGUGCAUUCUUCGUUUCAAACACAGAAGCCUUUCCUGGGUAACUUUGCAAGCCACAGUGCUUGGCUGGAAACGUGACAGGCCAAAUUGCAACCAGAAUUCUGCAAUUAUAAACAGAACCAUUUUUAUUUCGGAGAAAAAAAAAACGGCGACAGAGAAAGGAAACUAAAAGAAAAAGAGGAAAUGAAUCAGUUUCGAAGCAUGAGACCUCAAGCGCACAAACAAGCAGGGGAGUGGAGGCUAUCAGCUGGAUAGGUGAAAAUAGUGGAACUGAUUGGAGAGAGAUAAUUUUGUGCUGAGAGCAAUUGAACCUGAGAUUCUGCCCGGUGUUAAGCUGCUGGAGAAGCCAGACUCACAGAGUCCUCAGAGGCAAGGAUUCGAAUCAUGCCUCCACCAUGACAUAGCCCUGCAGCCUUGCACAGACUACUUAAUCCUAAUUUCCUGUAUCUUAAAGAAGGAAUAACAGCAGCACUUACCUCACUGGGCAGCUUCAUGUGCUGAGAUCAUGCACAUAGUGUACAUAAACCUCUUAGUACAUAACAUGUGCUCAGUAGUCCCUGGGAUUAUCAUUGUCAUUCUCAUAUAGGAAGUACUGUGAAAAUGCUUGUCCUAUAAAGAAUAUUUGCUGGAGUUUGCUCCUAGUUCUAAUUUCUUUUUUUUUUUUUUUUUUUUUGAGACAGUCUUGCUCUGUCACCCAGGCUGGAGUGCCAGUGGCACAAUUGAUCUCAGCUCUUUGCAACCUCCACCACCCAGGUUCAAGUGAUUCUCCUGCCUCAGCCUCCCGAGUAGCUGGGAUUACAGGUGUGGCCACUGUGCCUCCUCCCCCCUCUACUUUUUUUUUUUAAAUCUUUGCUGCUAAAUAAAUUAACCCAUUAAAAAAACAGUUGGGGAACAAAAACACCUGCAAAAAUAUGAAUUAAAGAAUGCCAGGGGAGGGGAGUUGUUCUUUUUUCUUCUCCUGUACUUUAGAAUGUUUGGCUUCUUUAUUUAUGUGGCAGGACUGUAUCCUCAGCAACUUAGCGGCAUGGCCGAUAUCAGUCAGCCGCCUUGGAGGGUGAUAAAGAGCUGCUGGCAGAAGAUAGGGUGAAAAGAGCACAAUAGAAACGUAUGUAGAUGCCCAGUGCACACAGAUGCUUUUGUGUCUCUCUUGUUUUCAGCAGAGUACAAAAUAAUGACAUAUAUCAGAGUUUGCAAACUGCACCCAGCCACCUAGUAUUUUUUUUUUUUAACUAUCUUGAAACAAUUCUAAAUCUACAGGAAGUUGCAAAAAUAUUACAGAGAGCUCUGUACCCUUCACCCAGCUCACCUUCUCCACAAUGGUUGGAUAUUAAGCAACUAUCAGCUAUCACACUUUUUUUUUUUUUUUUGAAACGGAGUCUUGCUCUGUCACCCAGGCUGGAGUGCAAUGGUACGAUCUCGGAUUACUGCAGCCUCCAUCUACCUCCUAGGUUCAAGUGAUUCUUGUGCCUCAGCCUCCAAAGUAGCUGGGAUUACAGGUGUGUGCCUCUACACCUGGCUAAUUUUUGUAUUGUUCAUAGAGAUGGGGUUUCAACAUGUUGGCCAGGCUGGUCUCCAACUCUUGACCUCAAGUGAUCUGCCUGCCUUGGACUCCCAAAAUGCUGGGAUUACAGACGUGAGCCACCGCGUGUGGCCAGCUAUUGCUUUUUGAAGAUGGUUGUGCUGGGAACAAUAUACUAGAAUUAUUUGCUGCAAAAUGCUGCAAAACCCCUGCAGGCUCACCCCACCCAAACCGCUGACUUUGAAAAGAAUCUGAAUUCAUAGUUCCCCAGGCAACCUUCCGAAAUCUACACAUGCAGACCCUUUCCUCUGAUUUGGUUGAUCCGGUUUACUCUUUUCCCUUAGGGGAUUUCUGUCACCCACCGCGGAUGCCACUGUCCACUGUGAUGAGGAGAAAGGGGAAACUUGAAAGCGGGGCAGCUUCAGUCCCUGCCAUGAUGACACCGAGGGGUUGCAGUGGAGGAGGAGUCUAGACUAUAUUCCUGGUUUCAUCCAACUCAUGUUCAUCAGUGGCCACCUGGGGAAGAGAGCCCAGUCCAAAGGGAGAGAGAUGGGCUGUGCCAUCGUGUCAGUAAGAGAGGUGAAGUGACUGAUGAAAGGUGAAAGACAUACACUAAUGAGAGUGAUCCCCUCUGAGACGCAUACCAGUACGUGAGGAGUCCUGAAACGGACGGAGUUUUAGUCACAAGUGGUGGCACACACCUGAAGUCCCAGCUACUCAGGAAGCUGAGGUGGGAGAUCACUUGAGCAUAGGAGUUUAAAGCUGUAGUGAGCUAGGAUCACACCACUGCACUCCAGCCUGUGGGACAGAGCAGUAUCCUGACCUAUUUAAAAAAUAAUAAAUAGGUGUGGUGGUUCACACCUGUAAUCCCAGCACUUUGGUAUCACCUGAGGUUUUCGAUAAGCCUAGAUCGCACCAUUGCAUUCCAGCCUGGGCAACAAAAGCGAAAGUCCUUCUCAAAAUAAUAAUAAUAAUAAUAAUAUAAUAAAUUAAUUAAUUUUAAAAAUCCCAAUUUGAGUCAGAAAAUACAGAAUAAUCUCAAAAGAAAAUAAGUCCCAGCUAACCGUACCAUCCUGUAGUAAAAUAAAACAAAAGUUGUUGCUCUCUUUUUUUGUCUAUAAAAAGAUGUAUGUUAUAAGAAAACUGUUAAGAAAUUUCA